UUCUCGUUCUCCGCUUUCUGCGUGUAGUUGAAGCUGUGAUCUCUCAGCCUCCCACUCCUGCCAUCCUGCCUGCUGCUUGGUGCCACGCCCACCAUGCUUUUUGUCGUGGCGUUUUAUCACAGCAACAGAAAAGCAACGAACAGGUCUUGUAGUAAUAGCCAGUGAGAACAAAUGCUGGGAGAAGAAGCGGCACACAACAUUGCUGAGUCUUUACUACGGACGCACGCCCCGCCCCCCUCCAUUGAUGAGAGUUUGGUUGAUGUGUGGAUAUAGGAUCUGAGCGUGUCCUCCCACUGCUGAGAAGAAUGUAGGGAGAGGCGGUGGAGCCCCAGAGCAGAAACAUCGAGAUUCCUCCACAUUCACUACUUCUACUAAAACAAAGUCAAUACUGUCAUGACUUGCUUUGAGAGUCAAGUAGAACUGUCACCCUCCUGGUCUGUGCACCCUCCAACAGCAACCACGGAACCGCUUGUACACAAUGCUCAAUUCUGAUUGGACAACACAAGCCACACGGCUGAGCCUCGCCUAAGAACGAAAAAGAGUUCGGAGGGAAGAUGAACGAGGACACAGAUAAUAAAGGUUUGUAGAACGUGCUAGACUGUUCUAGGAAGUCACUCCAAGAUUAAACAGACCUCCUACUGAGCUGGAAGCACCACGCAUGAACUUUGGCGAGAAGCUGAGAAACCCAGAGUUCAGAGAGGUCAAGUCACAGAAUCACAGCCACACAGGUGAAGGGCUCUGGGAAUGUCUGGCUUACGAAGAAGACUCCCUAAUAGAGAGCGAAAAUGCAGAGAUUGCUGUGUGCUCCCUGCCUGGCUAAUUACAAUGCAAUCGAGCACCUUCAACCUCAAAUCCAAAUGACUCCAGGAUCCAACGUAACCAAACCCCAGUAAUAAAUCACAAGUGGAAAUGUG